rnacentral:tRNA from 1 species
AGCUCAUUGGUAGAGUGCAUGCUUAGCAAGCAAGAAGCCCUAGGUUCAAAACCUAG